ACGACGCUGGCGGCGUGCCUAAUACAUGCAAGUUGAACGCAACAAAGACACCAGAGCUUGCUCUACCGUCUUUGUUGAGUAGCGAACGGGUGAGUAACGCGUGGGUAACCUGCCUUAUAGCGGGGAUAACUAUUGGAAACGAUAGCUAAUACCGCAUAACAAUAGAGAUUGCAUAAUCUUUAUUUGAAAGUGCCAACUGGUACACUAUGAGAUGGACCCGCGUUGUAUUAGCUAGUUGGUAGUGUAAUGGACUACCAAGGCGAUGAUACAUAGCCGACCUGAGAGGGUGAUCGGCCACAUUGGGACUGAGACACGGCCCAAACUCCUACGGGAGGCAGCAGUAGGGAAUCUUCGGCAAUGGACGAAAGUCUGACCGAGCAACGCCGCGUGAGUGAAGAAGGUUUUCGGAUCGUAAAACUCUGUUGUUAGAGAAGAAUGUUGAUUAGAGUGGAAAAUUAAUCAAGUGACGGUAUCUAACCAGAAAGGGACGGCUAACUACGUG
rnacentral:rRNA from 1 species